rnacentral:rRNA from 1 species
UACAGAGGUCCCAAGCGUUGUUCGGAUUCACUGGGCGUAAAGGGUGCGAUAGGCGGUUGGGUAAGUCUGUCGUGAAAUCGUCCGAGCCUAACUCGGAAACUGCGUCGGAUACUAUUCAACUCGAGGAAUGGAGGGGAGACUGGAAUUCUCGGUGUAGCAGUGAAAUGCGUAGAUAUCGAGAGGAACACCAGUGGCGAAGGCGAGUCCUCUGGACAUUUCCUGACGCUGAGGCACGAAAGCCAGGGGAGGCAAACAGGG